rnacentral:lncRNA from 1 species
GUUCAGAAGAGACACAAACCCUGCAAGAUAAUUACAAGAAAGGUGCAGCACCAAUUGGCAGAUUAGGGAUCUACUCAAAAUGACAGCUCAUGCAAAUAAUGACUUAAUGUGCAAAUUAUUAAAAAAAAAUAUUAACAAUGACAGGGAGGAGGUGAGAGAAAGCCAAAUCGAGGCACCAUCUUACAAAAUUCAGAAAAAGAAAUAAAAAUCUUUAAACAAUUCAGAAAUAAAAAUCAAAUCUUGAUAAAAUUCAGAGAUGUAUGAGCAAGCAAGCUAAUAGAGAAAAAAAAGAGAUAAAGAAUUUGACAAGCAGCAGGGCAAAUCUGAAUUGAGUUGGAUUUAAUUAAAGAAAAAAGAGGGGGAUGUGAUUAAUAAAAUAUAAGAAGAGAAGAUUAUAGAUAGUAUGAAGAAGAAGAAAAACAAGAAAUAGGAAGAGUAACCUUUUGUGUUGGUGUUGGUGUCUCCUCUUUCUCUCUGGGUCUCGUCUCUCUCGUUUGCUCUGUGUAAAUGAUUUCAGACAAUUUGAAGCUUGUUGGGUUGUUUAUGCAUACACAUUAUACACACGUAUUAAUUAGUUGUAUGUGAUAUGUACAGGUGUGUCUUCUUCUGCCUCUCAAUGCACCACAAAGGAGGACUCCCUCUCGCCCAAUCAAACAUCUGCCUCUCUUCUUUUUAUACAAAAAU